rnacentral:rRNA from 1 species
AUUGAACGCUGGCGGCAUGCCUUACACAUGCAAGUCGAACGGCAGCACGGGUGCUUGCACCUGGUGGCGAGUGGCGAACGGGUGAGUAAUACAUCGGAACAUGUCCUGUAGUGGGGGAUAGCCCGGCGAAAGCAGGAUUAAUACCGCAUACGAUCUACGGAUGAAAGCGGGGGACCUUCGGGCCUCGCGCUAUAGGGUUGGCCGAUGGCUGAUUAGCUAGUUGGUGGGGUAAAGGCCUACCAAGGCGACGAUCAGUAGCUGGUCUGAGAGGACGACCAGCCACACUGGGACUGAGACACGGCCCAGACUCCUACGGGAGGCAGCAGUAGGGAAUUUUGGACAAUGGGCGAAAGCCUGAUCCAGCAAUGCCGCGUGUGUGAAGAAGGCCUUCGGGUUGUAAAGCACUUUUGUCCGGAAAGAAAACCUUGGCCCUAAUACGGUCGGGGGAUGACGGUACCGGAAGAAUAAGCACCGGCUAACUACGUG